rnacentral:rRNA from 1 species
GAUGAACGCUAGCGGCGCGCCUAACACAUGCAAGUCGAGCGGACUUGGGAGGCUUGCUUCCCAAGUUAGCGGCGAACGGGCGAGAACAGAGUUCGUACCUGCCCCGAAGUCGGGAAUAACGCGCCGAAAGGCGCGCUAAAUGCCGGAUGGACCCGAGAGGGUAAAGCAGCAAUGCGCUUCGGAGGGCGUGCUUCCUAUCAGCUAGUCGGCGGGUAACGGCCACCGAGGCGACGACGGUAGCCGGUCUGAGAGGACUGCCGGCCGCAAUGGGACUGAGACACGGCCCAUACUCCUACGGGAGGCGAGCAGUGAGGAAUCUUCCGCAGUGGGCGAAAGCCUGACGCAGCAACGCCGCGUGGGUGAAGAAAGGCCUCGUGUAGUACGUCGU